CUACGUGCCAGCAGCCGCGGUAAUACGGAAGGUCCAGGCGUUAUCCGGAUUUAUUGGGUUUAAAGGGAGCGUAGGCGGAUUGUUAAGUCAGCGGUUAAAGGGUGUGGCUCAACCAUGCAUUGCCGUUGAAACUGGCGAUCUUGAGUGCAGACAGGGAUGCCGGAAUUCGUGGUGUAGCGGUGAAAUGCUUAGAUAUCACGAAGAACUCCGAUCGCGAAGGCAGGUGUCCGGGCUGCAACUGACGCUGAGGCUCGAAAGUGUGGGUAUCAAACAGGAUUAGAUACCCUGGUAGUCCACACAGUAAACGAUGUAUACUCGCGGUUUGCGAUAGACAGUAAGCCGCCAAGCGAAAGCAUUAAGUAUACCACCUGGGGAGUACGCCGGCAACGGUGAAACUCAAAGGAAUUGACGGGGGCCCGCACAAGCGGAGGAACAUGUGGUUUAAUUCGAUGAUACGCGAGGAACCUUACCCGGGCUUGAAUUGCAGAGGAGUUAUUUAGAGAUA
rnacentral:rRNA from 1 species